UGCAUCGAUGAUUCACUGAAUUGCAGAAUUCAGUGAAUCAUCGAAUCUUUGAACGCACAUGGCGCCCCCCGGCAUCCCGGGGGGCAUGCCUGUCCGAGCGUCGUUUCAACCCUCGGGCCCGUUUCGUGGCCCGGUGUUGGGGACCUACACCCCACCGUAGGCCCCGAAAAGCAGUGGCGGACCCGCGCCGGCCCCCCCUUUGCGUAGUACCAUCAGCCUCGCAUCGGGAGCCCGCGGGCGUCUCCGGCCUCUAAAACCCCCACCAAAGACCGCCCCCGGCGGCACCAAAGGUUGACCUCGGAUCAGGUAGGAAUACCCGCUGAACUUAA
rnacentral:misc_RNA from 1 species